rnacentral:rRNA from 1 species
UACGGAGGGUGCAAGCGUUAUCCGGAUUCACUGGGUUUAAAGGGUGCGUAGGUGGGCAGGUAAGUCAGUGGUGAAAUCUCCGGGCUUAACCCGGAAACUGCCAUUGAUACUAUCAGUCUUGAAUACCGUGGAGGUAAGCGGAAUAUGUCAUGUAGCGGUGAAAUGCUUAGAUAUGACAUAGAACACCAAUUGCGAAGGCAGCUUACUACAGGAACAUUGACACUGAGGCACGAAAGCGUGGGGAUCAAACAGG